CAGGAGUUAAAUCAUGUGUUUGUGACGGAUAGUGUCAAGGGGUUGAGCUGAAGUCAUCAAUGAGCGCCCUAUUUUACGGGCCGUCUCCCGUUCUCUAGCAGUCCGCUGAGAGGAGAGUAACAGGUUUUGCCGGCCGAGUGGAGCCCCUUCGGACGUCGUUGGGGAGGGUUUAGCUCCUCAGCCUUUCCAGGUGGCACACAAACUGCUGUUUUGCAGUAUCCGGGUACGAGUAGUGAUUAGCGAUUGUAAACAGCUGAUAUUCUAACAUUGUAUGCGUCCCGCGCUCCGGUUUUGUUUCGGCUACUUGCCUACUGUUGUUUUUAUUUCGAGCGGGGGGUGCCCGAUGUGUGGAGGAAUAGCGUGGGUAUUUUCUUAGAUCAGAUUUUAGCAUGUGGCGUGAUAUUGCAUGAACUGUUUUUAACGCACUUUGUUUUGCCGUUGCGUGAGUGAGUUGCUGGGUGUGUGUGUGUGUGUGUGUUGCAUGUUUAUAGGUUGCACGGGUGAUUAGAUGAACUGGGGAUUCGCUGUCUCCACACUGACGCUCGCCCCACCCUCGCCGUGUUUAGGGACCCGGGCAAAGCGCAUCCACGUUAGAAGCAAUCCCUAUGUGUCCUUUGUUUAUGUACAGG
ensembl:lncRNA